rnacentral:rRNA from 1 species
AGUGAACGCUGGCGGUAGGCCUAACACAUGCAAGUCGAACGGCAGCACAGUAAGAGCUUGCUCUUACGGGUGGCGAGUGGCGGACGGGUGAGGAAUACAUCGGAAUCUACUUUUUCGUGGGGGAUAACGUAGGGAAACUUACGCUAAUACCGCAUACGACCUACGGGUGAAAGCAGGGGAUCUUCGGACCUUGCGCGAUUGAAUGAGCCGAUGUCGGAUUAGCUAGUUGGCGGGGUAAAGGCCCACCAAGGCGACGAUCCGUAGCUGGUCUGAGAGGAUGAUCAGCCACACUGGAACUGAGGCACGGUCCAGACUCCUACGGGAGGCAGCAGUGGGGAAUAUUGGACAAUGGGCGCAAGCCUGAUCCAGCCAUACCGCGGGGGUGAAGAAGGCCUUCGGGUUGUAAAGCCCUUUUGUUGGGAAAGAAAAGCAGCAGGUUAAUACCCCGCUGUUCUGACGGUACCCAAAGAAUAAACACCGGCUAACUUCGU